rnacentral:rRNA from 1 species
CCUACGGGAGGCAGCAGUGGGGAAUAUUGCACAAUGGGGGAAACCCUGAUGCAGCGACGCCGCGUGAGUGAAGAAGUAUUUCGGUACGUAAAGCUCUAUCAGCAGGGAAGAAAAUGACGGUACCUGACUAAGAAGCCCCGGCUAACUACGUGCCAGCAGCCGCGGUAAUACGGAGGGGGCAAGCGUGAUCCGGAUUUACUGGGUGUAAAGGGAGCGUAGACGGCAGCGCAAGUCUGGAGUGAAAUCCCAUGGCUUAACCAUGGAACUGCUUUGGAAACUGUGCAGCUAGAGUGCAGGAGAGGUAAGCGGAAUUCCUAGUGUAGCGGUGAAAUGCGUAGAUAUUAGGAGGAACACCAGUGGCGAAGGCGGCUUACUGGACUGUAACUGACGUUGAGGCUCGAAAGCGUGGGGAGCAAACAGGAUUAGAUACCCGAGUAGUC